CUGUUCUUAUCGCAACACAUGAGCUUUCCAUUUUUACAGUUCUGCUCCCUAUCCCAGUGGGGCAGAGGAGGGGAAUGGGAAAGUCCACUGCAUGGAUCUUAAUUGCUGGGUCUAGGAGUUAAGCACAUCGGUGUCUUAUUUAACUUUUCUCUCUCAGACUUUGGAGUUCAAUGAAGCCUGAUAGAUCUUCGUUCGUAUCUGCAGUUUGUAGGAAUGCCACUGGUUCAACUGAGAGAAAUGUGGAAAAUGUCUGAUUAGCUCCAGUUUCUAGUGAUGAAUUGAUUACCAUCUAUUGAUUUACAAGUCAAACCUAAGAGACAGCCCACAAAGACAUCUUGUAUAUCAAAGGCUUCGAAGAGAUCUAAAGACACAAAAAUUUCUUUGACAUGUCAAAGGAGAAAUGAGCUCAAGUUCUUCAAACAAAUGCUGCAGGAAAGGAAGUCAUUUACUCUUCGGCUUUUGCUUAUUUCCAUUUGCUUUAAUUGUAGAGUAAAAUUUAUUUAGACCAAUUUCUUCCGUUCACUCAUGAAGAGUAAUGCUUGUAUAGGGUGAUAUUUAGAAAA